rnacentral:misc_RNA from 1 species
UCCGGUUUGUCACCGGCAGUCUCGCAUGAGUCCCCAACUAAAUGCUGGCAACAUGCGACAGGGGUUGCGCUCGUUGCGGGACUUAACCCAACAUGUCACCACACGAGCUGACGACAGCCAUGCAGCACCUGUCUCUCUGCUGUAUUGCUACAGAGACUCUAUUUCUAGAGCUGUCAGAGGAUGUCAAACCCAGGUAAGGUUCUUCGCGUUGCAUCGAAUUAAGCCACAUGCUCCGCCGCUUGUGCGGGUCCCCGUCAAUUCCUUUGAGUUUUAGCCUUGCGGCCGUACUCCCCAGGCGGAGUGCUUAAUGCGUUAGCUGCGGCACGGAGAGGGUUGAAGACCUCCCCACACCUAGCACUCAACGUUUACGGCUGGGACUAC